rnacentral:rRNA from 1 species
UACAGAGGGGGCAAGCGUUAUUCGGAAUUAUUGGGCGUAAAGGGCGCGUAGGCGGCUUUGCAAGUGACGGGUGAAAUCCCUCGGCUUAACCGAGGAACUGCCUGUCAAACUGCAUGGCUUGAGACCGGGAGAGGUGAGUGGAAUUCCCAGUGUAGCGGUGAAAUGCGUAGAUAUUGGGAGGAACACCAGUGGCGAAGGCGGCGACCUGGGUUGACACUGACGCUGAGGCGCGAAAGCGUGGGGAGCAAACAGGG